rnacentral:rRNA from 1 species
UCUUAAGAUUUAUUUUAUUUUAAAAAUUAAAAUAAAUCUUUAAUUGGGGUGAUUGUAAAAUUUAAUUAACUUUUAUAUAUUUAAUUCUUAAAUAAAUGAUUUUUUUGAUAUUAAUUAUAAAUAUUUAAAAUAAGU